rnacentral:lncRNA from 1 species
CUUCUUUCCCUUUCUAAUUGGGAAUCCAUUCACGUUCACCAGGAGGAUGGAAUAAAGUGGAAAAUAUGGCGAGAAGAAAUACAGUCUUAAUAGACAAGAGUCAUAAAUUGCAAUGGUUUACAUUGGAAAACCUCAGAAGCAAAGACGCUAAGAAAGCAGGAUUACUGUAGGAAGGAGCAAACUCGGUGGAACAGCUCCUAUUUUUGCUGAAAGUUUAAGCUGUAAAAUCAGCAACAGCGGGUUCUGAGGGCAGAGCACUGAUCCAGCACCUCUUUGGUAGGACUCAGCUUUGGAAAGCACCGACACUGACUGCAAACAAAUCCUGCAGCAGGGCACCGACAUCACAGGGGUCAGCGUUGGAACAUCCAGCUUCACUGUAUGCAACAAGGGAUCCAUGGUGUGAUUCAAACUCACUUGCAAGAUACAACACCUGGCAUUGCUAAGAUUGAUAAUAAACUCCAAGUGAAAUCUUACCUUUGUUAAUGACACACUUGAGCGUCACAGACUUGGUUUAGACAGCUUUAAACAUCUGUGCUGUGUGAAUGUGCAGGUUCCUAACAAGAAUAGGACGCUUGCUAAUUUGUAACAGACGACUUCUAGUUAAAAACCCAGUCCUGCCAAGCCCUUCUCCCAGCACCAACAACUUCAUAAACGUCAAGUAUGCAUAACGAAUGUUCAAGAU